AAUAGAUACCCGGGUAGUCCACGCCGUAAACGAUGAGUGCUAAGUGUUAGAGGGUUUCCGCCCUUUAGUGCUGCAGCUAACGCAUUAAACACUCCGCCUGGGGAGUACGGUCGCAAGACUGAAACUCAAAGGAAUUGACGGGGGCCCGCACAAGCGGUGGAGCAUGUGGUUUAAUUCGAAGCAACGCGAAGAACCUUACCAGGUCUUGACAUCCCACUGACCGGUAUAGAGAUAUACCUUUCCCUUCGGGGACAGUGGUGACAGGUGGUGCAUGGUUGUCGUCAGCUCGUGUCGUGAGAUGUUGGGUUAAGUCCCGCAACGAGCGCAACCCUUGAUCUUAGUUGCCAGCAUUUAGUUGGGCACUCUAAGGUGACUGCCGGUGACAAACCGGAGGAAGGUGGGGAUGACGUCAAAUCAUCAUGCCCCUUAUGACCUGGGCUACACACGUGCUACAAUGGAUGGUACAAAGGGCUGCAAGACUGCGAAGUCAAGCCAAUCCCAUAAAACCCAUUCUCAGUUCGGAUUGCAGGCUG
rnacentral:rRNA from 1 species